ACCUAAAGAUCGCUUACACGCCGCCAAGAUUUUGCCAGUGGUCAGAAAUCAAUAUUUACUGCUUUGCACUUUGCUUAUUUGCAAUCCUGGUGCCAUGGAGGCGCUUCCAAUUUUUCUUGAUGGUCUGGUUACAGCGUCGGGUGCUAUUCUGAUUUCAGCGACAUGAUUCUUUUGUUCGGUGAGGACAAUUCUGAGAUCAUGAUAUUGAAAUUCUCACGGGAAAUUGACUCUACAGUUAUUGAAAUGGUAAUGGGCUGACUCACUCUCUCUCUCUCUCAUGCCUAGCUUUUUUGUGAGUGCAUCUCAAUGACAGGAGUUGAUGCUUGGUGUUGCCAAUCUGCAUGCGCCUGAUCGAUAAGGCUGUUGCUGCUGCUGAUCAGUCUGCAAUUUCUGGCUCUCAGACUGAUUCCGUUGGUGGCUGCCAACAGUAGCUGAACAGAUUAGGAGGGUAGCAGUGAUAAUGCUAGUGAUAAAGAUGAUGUUGAUAACAAUAUUAGUGGCGAUCGAUGAUGGUAACAAUUAAAAGAUCCCUCCAGGAAAACUCAAAAGUAUCAAAACUCGAAAGUAUCAAAUUCUGGUAACAAUUAAAAACGACCAAAGAUCGUUGAGCGCUAUGUUUGGUUUUCCUUUUUUUUUUUUUUUUUCCCCGUGCAUGUAUAACCGGGAAGAUCGAAGGCAAAAGCGGGGGAACGAGUUAUGAUUGUGAUCAAAGUUGUUGGCUACGCACGUACAGCUAGCUUGAUUCACUCUUAAUGAAGGAUCUUGUACGUAUGUCAUGUUUACAUGCAGCGUACGGAAUUGCGCCAAAUUAAACCACUUGAAUAGAUUAGUGGCCAACAUAUGAAUUUAUGGAGUUGUAUUUAACAGUUAUGGUUGCGCUAAUUCCCAACUACGUAUGUACGUAGUCUAUUUGUGGAUGCCUUAUUUUUUAUUUACCGGUGUUUAAAUUUAGAAAUAA